rnacentral:rRNA from 1 species
AAACCAGCACCUCAAGUGGUCAGGAGGAUUAUUGGGCCUAAAGCAUCCGUAGCCUGCUUUGUAAGUUUCCGGUUAAAUCCAUUAGCUUAACUGAUGGGCCGCCGGAAAAACUGCAAAGCUAGGGAGUGGGAGAGGUAGACGGUACUCGGUAGGAAGGGGUAAAAUCCUUUGAUCUAUUGAUGACCACCAGUGGCGAAGGCGGUCUACCAGAACACGUUCGACGGUGAGGGAUGAAAGCUGGGGGAGCAAACCGGAUUAGAAACCCGAGUAGUCC